CCUUUGAACCACGGGCACAGGGAUGUGUCUUUCAUAUGUGGGGAAAACAAACAACAGGGUAGCCCAAAUUUGCUCCCCGUCCCGAGCCUGCCCGUCAGACCACCAGCCUGGUGGAAUGAGUCCUGAUUUGGUGUCGUCACCACCGGGCUGUGCCGAGGAGCCUUGCGAAAGCUGUGACUCUCCCGGUUCCAUUCUCAGAGCUCAUCUGUCGAGCACAGCUCCCUGUCUCCAGUGGGGUCUCUGCCGAAAGAGCCUGACAACCCUGCUCUCAGCUGUCAGUGCCAAGGAAAGCCGGACUGCUGAGAAACUGGUUUGUUUUUAUACGAUGCAGGACGUUCUAACGUGGCCAUUUUUAUGUCCACAAUUGGAAAUAUCGCCUGGAUCGUUUUUAUUGCUUUCCUCCAGUUUUACUGCUGGGGACGCAAAGCCGUCUGACCUGGUCCAGGCUGUUCCUGACAUAAGAACAUUAUGUUUGAGGUGUGAUCCUUGGUAUCUCAGCACAAAGGCUGCAGGAACCAAGGGUUUAAACCUGCCUGCUUUCUAAGCUAAAGUGAAAGACAUCGCAGACUGCCCACAAGCGACAUGCCCGUCCUGCCGGGACUUUGAGUCGUCUGCUCAUUGUGCAGAACACGUGCCUGUGUUGGCUGAGCCACCGCAGUCGCAUUCUAGGAAGUUAACUACAGCUGUAAACGUGAAAAAUCGGUCCUGGUACAUCGCAACUUACAGAAAUUGUUCCUAACAAUAUCGUGCAGAAGGCACAUGGCCUGGCAGAGCGCCGAGUCGGAUGGAAGCGGCGUCGCCCCGGAAGGGACAGCAGCCGUUCGGAGAGCUGUGUCGGGAUGACGGAGCAACGGCACCGCCGCUGCCGAGACGUCACGGCUGCGAGUCGAACCCCGUCAGGACCUUCUCACGUCCGUUCCUGCUCUUCGGGUGCUGUGAGUGUCAGAGCCACUGCGGUUCCCACUGGAGCAGAGCUGGCCUCCGGGACGCAGAGCCAGCCUUGCAGCUCGUCUGCAGAGACCCCCCCGAAGCCUCGGGUUCGUUUCUCCACACUCCCCUUGCCUGUGGGCUCCUCCGUGACCUUCCCCAGUCAGCUCUCGCGGACAGCAGCUCUGUCUGCAAACCUCGCCCCACACCAUCCUCCAUUUUGUUUCUUGGCAGAUGACCUUCUAGUCACAUGGCUAAGAAAAGGGCUGUUUUCAGACAGACAGUGCCUCCCCGCUCUGCGAGGUGGUGCUGUUUUAUUCAUAAAUCACAGAACAGAAUUGCACAGCUAGGAAGCGGAGGCAGAAUCUGAAGUCCACACCUAGUUAACAGUGGCUUGAAGAAGUCGGGCUUCGAAGACUUUGAUGCCAAGUGCAGGCUCGCUCCGUUCACCACACAGCAGCCCAGUUAGUCAGGAAAUGAGCUGUUGGGACUCAGAAGGCAGCAGACUAGUGCCUCAGGCUCUGUCUUCUCCAGGCAGAAUUCAUGCUGCUUUUACAGCAGGGAGCAGAGAUGUGUGUGGCGAGUUAUUGCAAACUUGGUGACCAUGCCGACCAAGGGCGUGAGCCAGCAAGUGGGGGCUGGGUCACGAGGACUGCAGCCCAGGGAGACUGGCCACGAGGACCGCCGCAACGCCCACUGUUGACAGCGCAGGACCGCUCUGGGCCGCACGCCCAGCCACCCAGUACAGCUCCACCCACAGUCUCGUGGGCGAGGGGGUGGGGAUCAUUCUGGCUCCAUCCCGCUCAGCAGGGUGAUGAGGGAGUGAUCGUGGAAUGGGACUGACCAGCUGGGAAGGUUCUUUGAAAUUUUUACUAAGAGAUACAGCUCUCUGUUCUUACCUACAGCUGUUUGAACCUGGUGAAAUCCCUUCUGCAGUGAACUUUGAAGGCCCCUUUUCUCUCCAGGUUGAAGUAGGACUUGGUCUCCAGGUUGGAAGGGAUGUGGGGUUACCUCAGUUGAUAGGCAGUCCUGCUGGAAGCAAGCUCACGAACAGAGUUUUAACAUAAGUAGCAGUGAUUAGACAUGUCAGGGCGUUUACAGGUCCCCCGCCGAGUGGACACCUGGAACGGCCCCCCGUGCGGCAUGUCAGAGGGCCUCACUCAGCUGCUUCGGGGCCAUCUGACCCGCAGCAGGGCAGCCGGCCAGGCCUUCUCCCGGGUGAAAAUUAGUCUCCUGACAUACUUUUGCAGUGCUCCUCUCAUUUUCUCUGUCUUUCCAAUUGAUUGUGGUCUCCACAAUGAAUGUGGCUUCCAAUUUGCAGGGCUGUAGACACCUGUUGGGUUAUGCUCAGGACAGAAGCAGGCCUGUUAUCACUUUGAAGGGAGUUCAGUAGCCCAAACCAGGGGAUAAUUUCCUCAAGGAGGGCUCUAACCACCUCGGGGGCCUUUCUGUCUGAGUGGGGUAUGCCUGCUCCCAUCCUGAGACAGUAUCCAGUACCCGCCCACACUGGCAGGUAUCUAAAAUGUCCUGCGGCUCCAGCACUCGAGUAAAGCCUGUUUGCCGUCCUCAGUGGGGCAGGUUCCUGCAUCGGGCCCUGUCUGGGCAGGUCUGCAGUCUUCAGGUUCCUUUUAGUGGAAGUCACGUAACUGAGUGACUCGCCGGUGGUUCUUUAUGGGUUCAGCCCACGUACACAGGUAAGGUGGCGACUCUCCUGUGAUGGGCUCUGUUACGGACGCGCCGCAGCACAGGGUCCCCGAGGGCCCCGGGGACCAGAACGGUAGCUGCACACCGCUUUGCCAGCCGGGCGAGGUACGGGCAGGUGUGAGCCCCACGCUCUCCUUUUCUGAAUGCACUGGCUGGCAUUUUGGCAAGGCAGUCUGGGAGAACCGGCCUUGUCACGGCUGGGUGAUCCCCUCUGCUGCUGCCUUGGCCACGUGCUCGGCUCUCCAGUUGCCUUUUAUUACGUGAGUUUCACCCUUUUGGUGGCCUGGGCAGUG
ensembl:lncRNA